rnacentral:lncRNA from 1 species
UCAAGUAGGAACCAAAAUUUGGUUUCAUUGCACCUUUCAAAGACAUACAAUAAUUCUGGUUGAUGUUUACAUUUACCCACACCCCUAUUGAAAGUUUUGCUAACGGAAACAACAACUCUCCAAGAACAUAUGCAUCACCCCACAAACAAGCAAACGAAACGAACAAACAAACAAAAGACAGCUUGGUAAUGCCCUUCAAGGAGGCGAUCACCAAGUGGAUGCAUUUCACCACACUACCUAUGUUUCCAGUUAGUAUUAGUGUACAUGCAGAUGAUUGCACCAAAGACAGAUCCACGCUUCACUCAUGGAGUCACACCCAUCAGGGAGCCGCUCGAGUUUUGCCUGUAGAACAUACGCCGGCAUCUUGUUCCUGGGCGUCAAGCAGAAUCAUGGUUGCAUAUCGUACAAACUGCCCUGGCAAAACAACAAAUAACAACAACUCAGUUGGUUACUAUCAACAAGAAGAAAGGAUUGCACGCAAAUUCACCCGAUUCAACAGCGACAUUAUUCCAUGAGAUGAUUUCCAUGCAUCAAUACCAGGAUUUCUAGAUGUUCCCAUCUUUCUCCAUCUCCUUCAAGUACAUACACAGGACACUCAUGCAAUGUAUCAGCCCCCAAAAAAAAACACAAAAGGAGACGAUUUUAUUUGUUACAACUCAAGCAAACCAAGGAUGAUCAAUUCUAAAAUUCAUUCAUGCACUCCAAAUCAAGGAUGAUCCAUCACCCCAAACCAAGGAUUAUCAAACUCAUCCUACCAAAGCAUGAAAGCAACAGGUUCCACAACUAAAAUCAAACACAGCAGAGCUAGCUGUUCACCACGAUUCUAAAAGCAAGAAGCUAAUCGAACACCACGACAAAACUAACCUGAUGAAUCUAAUCCAAGAAAGCCAGCUUUGAGUACUCGUCGCAACCGAUGAUGAAGAUGGCCUUCUUCAGGAAGAUCUUGAACAAGAACACAUCAGGCACUCGCCAAAAAAUGAUCAACACCACCAGAAACACAAAACGACGAGCUCAAAUUUACAGAUACUAGAAAUACAAAAGAAACCUACUGAUUUCCCAUAGACCAAGCUCCAUCGAUCACUCUUCUCGCCCAGGAUGCGAUCACUCCGGUCCACCAUCACCAGCAUACAUAUCUUCGACGUGCCGCCUUUUGGGAUGGCCCAAAGUUUGGCACCAAGUCGCCACUGCCAUAAUGCAUCUAUGACUAUGAGGAUGAAUUUUGCCUAAGGAC